rnacentral:misc_RNA from 1 species
UGUCCCACCGCAGAAAGGACCUGGAACAUUACAUGUGUCGCGUCAAAGGUUGCGGCGGGUAGAGCGCGCCCUCUGCCGGAAACACGGCAAAGGACGCCGCGUUCCUGCCUUGUACGCAAGCGGCUGAUAUUAGACUUACCUCUGUCGAAGAUAUUAAGAGACAGUAUCUCGCAAUAAAAAUCCCUUUUUCCUUAAGAUACAGGAAAGAAAGGAGAAAUGAGAAGUCAAUUUAUUUUAUUUAUUUAUUUUUUUCUUCGUAUAAAUAGAGACGUUUCGAGUCUUUUACAAGGUGCUCUGAUGGUAACGUCGUGUUGCAUGUGUGUAUAAUUUUGUUAGAUUCAUUCUUCGUAAUUUUGCGCUUGCUGUAAUUGAGAUAAAUCGAUAUUAUUGACGCGAUCAAAAAGCUGUAACUUCGAGUAUCACUGCCGCACGAACAGUAAACUCACGUGUAAUCUCGUGUGACAAUCGUGCUCGUGUCGAGGUAUAAUUAGGUUUGCUCAAAUGAACAAAAAUGACUCGAUGAGCAGAUACGGGCCUCUUGUCGGCGCAAUUGACGAGGGCACGAGCAGUGCUAGGUUUCUGGUUUUUGCAGCGAAUACAGCAGAAGUUUUAACAUAUCAUCAAGUCCCAAUAUCGCAAACAUACCCAAAAGAGGGAUGGGUUGAACAAGAUGCUUUAGAAAUAUUAAAAGCAGUUAGAGAAUGCCUUAAACAAACUGUAUUUAAUUUAAGACAACUGACGAUAGACCCAGCCGACAUAGUUGCAAUUGGUAUAACAAACCAGAGAGAAACUACAGUUGUAUGGGACUCUAUCACAGGACAACCACUUUACAAUGCCAUAGUAUGGAUGGAUAUGAGAACCACAUCGAUUGUGGAUGAUAUAUUAAAGAAUAUACGGAAUAAAAACAAAGAUUACUUGAAACCACUUUGUGGCUUGCCGAUUAGCCCCUAUUUUAGUGCAUUAAAGUUGAAAUGGUUGUUGGAAAAUAUACCUAAAGUUCAAGAAGCAUUGAUUGCUAAACGUCUUAUGUUUGGCACCAUUGAUUCCUGGCUAAUUUGGAAUUUGACUGGUGGUGCUAAUGGUGGUGUUCAUAGUACAGAUGUUACAAAUGCUUCGAGAACAAUGUUAAUGAAUAUUAUGACUCUGAAAUGGGAUCCUACUCUGUUAUCAUUUUUUAAAAUACCUGCUGAAAUUUUGCCUGAAAUACGAAGCUCUUCCGAGAUUUAUGGUUAUAUACAAGAUGAAUUGCUACAGGGCGUUCCUAUAUCUGGGUGCUUAGGUGAUCAACAAUCAGCUCUAGUAGGUCAAAUGUGUCUACAACAAGGACAGGCAAAAAGUACUUAUGGCACUGGUUGCUUUCUUCUUUACAAUACUGGCACAGCUAUUGUGGAUUCAUCUCAUGGUUUAUUAACAACAGUUGCUUAUCAAUUAGGAGCAGAUGCUUCCCCAGUAUAUGCUCUUGAAGGGUCAGUUGCUAUCGCAGGUGCUGUUAUACAAUGGCUGAAAGAUAAUCUUGGAAUAUUGACUAAUGUAAAAGACUGUGAAACUAUUGUUGAACAAAUACCAACAGACAACCGUGUUGUUUUUGUACCAGCAUUUGCUGGGCUGUAUGCUCCAUAUUGGAGAAAAGAUGCGCGAAGUAUCAUUUGUGGUAUCAGUGAAGAUACUAAUAGCGCACAUAUUAUAAAGGCAGCUUUGCAGGCAGUAUGCUUUCAGACAAGAGACAUUUUGGAAGCUAUGAAAGAAGAUACUGGCUUAGUAUUGUCAAAACUAUUAGUCGAUGGUGCAAUGACUACUAAUGAUUUAUUAAUGCAAAUGCAAGCUGAUAUCUGUGGAAUUCCAGCCACUGAUGUGUGAAACUACUGCACUUGGGGUCGCAAUUGCCGCAGGAAGCGCAGAAGGAAUACGCAAGUGGGAUGUCAAGAUUGAUGCCGCCGUUCCUAGUGACAUUUUUUUGCCGUCAAUAACUGAAAAUGAACGUGAUAUUUUAUAUUCUCAGUGGAAAAUGGCUAUUGGUAGGAGCUUAGGUUGGGAAUUACUUCCAGAAACAAAUG